GCCAAUGAAAUGUAAGCAGAAGUGACAUAUGCAGCAUGACCAGUAGAAGCUUUGAAGAGCUAUUGCCAAUUUCCACCCUCUCUCUGGAAACUGUCAUUAGGGUUAGGGAAACUGUCAUGAGAUCCGCAUAUUUCAGAUAGAGGCUGCUUGCCUUAGUUUGGGCACCUAGUGAAAAAGACAUGGAGGCCAGGCGCGGUGGCUCAUGUCUGUAAUCCCAGCACUUUGGGAGGCCAAGGGAAGUGGAUCACCUGAGGUCAGGAGUUCGAGACCAGCCUGACCAACAUGGCAAAACCCCGUCUGUACUAAAAGUGCAAACACAAAGGGAACUGCGUGGCUUGUUUCUACCUGAACAUUGUCAAGUGAUUUCAUCCUUUGAAACACAGGUGUGAAGUGUGUCCAGCAGUCUGAGAACAAGAAGAAGAAGAAAAUCUAAUCCUUCAGGGUGUCUGUGUGCCAGCCCUGCUCUCAGCACUUCCCAUGUGGAACUCGUUUACUUCUCCUAACAACUCCAUCAUAUGGGUUAGACUGUGAUUGUUCCCAUAUUGUUGGUAGGGAAACUGAGGCAUGCAGGUGUUACAGAGCUGUCUCAAGCAGCAAGCUUUCUGGGUGGUUACAGAGUGGCAGAGCUGGGGUAUCCCAUGAUGUCACCACACUGCUAUAUGGAAAGGAACAUUAAUCGAGCACCUAUGUGCUUGAUUCUCUUAAUUCUGUGACUGAACUCUCAAAACACCCUGGGUUGGUUUCCUUUUUACAACUGCCCAAGUCAUGAGUUCAUAGGGCCUGGAUGGCUGUACCGGAUUGCUCUCCAGCUGGUCUCUCUGCAUCCAGAAAUUUCUACAACCUACUGGGGUAAAAUCUUUCUCAACCCUGCUUUUCAUCAUCACAUCUUAAAUACCUCGAGUUGGUUCCCUAUUGCCAAAAAAAAUCCAUUGUCCAUGUAGGGUUCUUCUGCCGAAACGAGGAAAGAGUGAGUUAAAUGUUGGUAGGUGAUGUAGAGAUAGUAAUUAGGCAAUGUAAUUAGAUGUUGUUGAAAGAGCUGAGCUAUGAAAUGCAUUGUGAUAAAGGGGCUGCCUAUGUAAGUAAAUGGGUAUAAUGAGGUGUAAAACUCCCUUUCUCUCUCUCUUUCUGCUUCAUAAGCCUUUCUGCUUCUCAAGUCCAGACCUGCUGUUUUUGGGGUUUCCUUCCAAUUUUUUUGCUGCUUCCCUGGGGCCUUGGCUCUUGGGCCUGCUGCCUCUUCCCACUCUACACCUUUGGAUUCCUUAUCUUUGGCUCCACCUUAUUGCUCCAUUCUCCAAAGACAAAUCCACAAGGCAUAGGAUUUUACAGAAUAUGGGGUUACAGAAACAGCAUAGGGAAGUGUAAAAGCCUAGAAGCUUCUUACAGACGCAGCCCCUUGUCUGUAGCUCCUGACUCCCACUUAAA
rnacentral:lncRNA from 1 species